rnacentral:misc_RNA from 1 species
GUGAAUCAUCAAAUUUUUGAACGCAUAUUGCACUCUCUGGUAUUCCGGAGAGCAUGCCUAUUUGAGGGUCAGUAGAAAUAAUAUAAAUUCUAAGAUGUCUCGGAAUUUAAAAUGGGGUGUCCAUUUUUCGUGAUCGCCUAAAAUCCAAGACAAGCUAAUUUUCUACGGAUGCGUGAUACUUUCAGUUACGUCGUGAGUAAACCAGGAAUCAUCUGGUGUUUUAUGAAUUUUGCAAGAAAUAGAAAAUUCCAUAGAUUUAUCUCAUGCGAA